UAAGAGGUGUGCAUAUAGUAUGGGAUGUCCAUGAUAAGAACUGACUUUUGUUUUUUUCUACUUAUUAGAAAUUGGAUCUUUACAGCCCUUUAUAGUGUAAUAAUGUCCCGUAUCUUAAAAAUGCUGCAGUAAAAUGGUUUGAUAUGAGGUGUGCAAAUAGUAUGGGACAUCCCUUAUAGGAACAGACCAUUGUUUUUUUCUACUUAUUAGAAAUGGGAUCUUUACAGCCAUUUAAAGUGUAAUAAUGUCCCAUAUCUCGAAAAUGCUGCAGUAAAAUGGUUUGAUAUGAGGUGUGCAUAUAGUAUGGCAUGUCCUUUAUAAGAACUGACCAUUGUUUUUUUCUACUUAUUAGAAAUUAUGUCUUUAUAGCCCUCCAAAUCACCAUUUGGACCCAUAUCUCAAAAAUGCUGCAGUAAAAUGGUUUGAUAUGAGGUGUGCAUAUAGUAUGGGAUGUCCCUGAUAAGAACUGACUUUUGUUUUUUUCUACUUAUUAGAAAUGGGAUCUUUAUAGCCCUUUAAAGUGUAAUAAUGUCCCAUAUCUUGAAAAUGCUGCAGUAAAAUGGUUUGAUAUGAGGUGUGCAUAUAGUAUGGGACAUCCCUGAUAAGAAC